rnacentral:rRNA from 1 species
UCAGUCGACUCCUACGGGAGGCAGCAGUGAGGAAUAUUGGUCAAUGGAGGCAACUCUGAACCAGCCAUGCCGCGUGAAGGAAGAAUGCCCUAUGGGUUGUAAACUUCUUUAUUUGGGAAGAAACCUUUCUACGUGUAGAAAGCUGACGGUACCAAACGAAUAAGGACCGGCUAACUCCGUGCCAGCAGCCGCGGUAAUACGGAGGGUCCAAGCGUUAUCCGGAAUCAUUGGGUUUAAAGGGUUCGCAGGCGGUUUAUUAAGUCAGUGGUGAAAUCUCGGGGCUCAACUCCGAAACUGCCAUUGAUACUGAUAAACUUGAGUAUAGUUGAAGUAGGCGGAAUGUGUAGUGUAGCGGUGAAAUGCUUAGAUAUUACACAGAACACCGAUAGCGAAGGCAGCUUACUAAGCUAUUACUGACGCUCAUGAACGAAAGCGUGGGGAGCGAACAGGAUUAGAUACCCUGGUAG